CUGUUUUCAGGCUAGAAAGAUCAAAAGCACUUUUACAGAGAGAAGAUUCGAAUUACUUUAAUGGCACAGAGUAAGUACAUACAGAGGUCUCACUUCUGCGGGAAAACCGUAAGGUAGGCUUAUAGUUUUAUACCAAAAUAGCUCAGGCGGCCAUGUUUUUAGCAAGUGCCUUAACUUAAAGAGAGGCAUUUACCCCCCUGGAACAUUGAAUUUCAAUAUGUUUUCAAGGGGGUGCCUCUCUUUAUGGCACUUGCCAAGAACAUGGUGACUGAAAAAAUCCCUUACGCUAAAUUAACCUGAAGUGAAACCUCUGUAUGUUCUUUAAUACUCCGUGUUGAUAUAGUUAGUAUUAGAGUUAGGAAAGAUUGGAGUAAGGAUUGCAAUUAAAUCUAGAUUAACAUUAGUGUGGAAAUUGACCGAAACCAGAAGACAAAAAUUCAUCCUAAAAGUAUUGUCCUAAAAAUGAACUAAACGAUUUUUUUAUCAUUAUAACCACAUUAAUUUUGUCCUAUUUAAUACCAACAAACCAACACUAUUCUAAAGGUAAUCGUACAUUCAUCCCAAAAUUACUCGAAUUAGCCUGCGAGAAGUUUCGAAUCAACCAAAUGAUUUAUUAUAGUCACCAUAAUUAUGUCCUAUUUCACCAAUACUAUUACUUUAAGAAAUUAAUCUUAAUAUUUUCAUGUUGCGUUUACAGUAAAAAGGUUAAAGCCAUCACGAUGCUGGCCAAACAAAAUUGCAUCAAGCUUCUGGAUUUGAACUCUGGAGAAGCCCCCGUUAUCCUUUCGCCUUCAGGGGGCAUAUCGUAGCCUUCCUUCCAGCAUUCGACGCAUACGAUGAAUAACAUGAGGAUCAAACCAAGGGACCACAAACUCCGUCCCAUUCUUCCGCUCAGCAUCUUGAGAUGGUUGAGAUGUGAUGGAUGCAAAAAGCU
rnacentral:lncRNA from 1 species